UACGAAGGGGGCGAGCAUUGUUCGGAAUUACUGGGCGUAAAGGGUGCGUAGGCGGUUUGAUAAGUCAGAUGUGAAAGCCCAGGGCUUAACCCUGGAACUGCAUUUGAAACUAUCAGACUAGAGUGAUGGAGAGGAGAACAGAAUUCCCAGUGUAGAGGUGAAAUUCGUAGAUAUUGGGAGGAAUACCAGUGGCGUAGGCGGUUCUCUGGCCAUAUACUGACGCUGAGGCACGAAAGCGUGGGGAGCAAACAGG
rnacentral:rRNA from 1 species